UACGGAGGGUGCGAGCGUUAAUCGGAAUUACUGGGCGUAAAGCGCACGUAGGCGGUUAAUUAAGUUGGAUGUGAAAGCCCUGGGCUCAACCUGGGAAUUGCAUCCAAAACUGGUGAACUAGAGUAUGGUAGAGGGGGGUAGAAUUCACGGUGUAGCGGUGAAAUGCGUAGAUAUCGUGAGGAAUACCGAUGGCGAAGGCAGCCCCCUGGACUGAUACUGACGCUGAGGUGCGAAAGCGUGGGGAGCGAACAGG
rnacentral:rRNA from 1 species